CCGCGUUGGAUUAGCCAGUUGGCAGGGUAACGGCCUACCAAAGCGACGAUCCAUAGCCGGCCUGAGAGGGCGACCGGCCACAUUGGGACUGAGACACGGCCCAAACUCCUACGGGAGGCAGCAGUGGGGAAUAUUGCACAAUGGGGGAAACCCUGAUGCAGCGACGCCGCGUGAAGGAAGAAGUAUCUCGGUAUGUAAAGCUCUAUCAGCAGGGAAGAAAUUGACGGUACCUGACCAAGAAGCCCCGGCUAACUAC
rnacentral:rRNA from 1 species